rnacentral:lncRNA from 1 species
GUGACAGUUUCCUGCAUGAGACUUUUAUUCUUAUUUGGCUUUUGGACUUUUAAAUGAUUCUGUGAUUAAUGCUUCGAUGCUGCACGUGAUAAUUGUCUUGGCAGAAAGAUGUCUUUGUUCUUGCCCACUCACCUUUUGUAUGGUGUUUCCCACUCCUGUUCCCUUUUUAUGAGUUGUUGAUGUUCAUCUAUAUUUAGCGAGUGUUUUGCUAAUAUCCAAGGAGUCAUCAAAGG